ACCUGCGCGUCUGCUUGAGGUGCCUCGUGACAUGGGUCGACGAGGUGAAACAGGGAAGCCGGUAGCAAGCCGGCGCUGCCCCCGCAACGGUAGGUGAGUUGAACGUCGCACAGGCCACUGGACAGCUGUCUGGGAAGGCGCGGCGGAGGAGUUUUCCGCUCACGAGCCCGGAGACCGGCCUCAGGCGUUACACGGCA
rnacentral:ncRNA from 2 species